UACGAAGGGGGCUAGCGUUGCUCGGAAUCACUGGGCGUAAAGGGUGCGUAGGCGGGGCUUUAAGUCAGGGGUGAAAUCCUGGAGCUCAACUCCAGAACUGCCUUUGAUACUGAAGAUCUUGAGUUCGGGAGAGGUGAGUGGAACUGCGAGUGUAGAGGUGAAAUUCGUAGAUAUUCGCAAGAACACCAGUGGCGAAGGCGGCUCACUGGCCCGAUACUGACGCUGAGGCGCGAAAGCUAGGGGAGCAAACGGG
rnacentral:rRNA from 1 species